rnacentral:misc_RNA from 1 species
AAGUCGUAACAAGGUUUCCGUAGGUGAACCUGCGGAAGGAUCAUUAACACGUUUUUUUAAACCAAAACGUACUAAAACUCUGUGAACGAGAUUUCCAAAUAUUAAUCUCAACUAAUAAUAUUAUUUUAAUAUUAAUAUUUCGGUAUUAAUAUUAUUAAUAAUAUUAUUAGGAUUAUAUUUGGGUAACAUAAAUCUCACUAUUUUUAUUUCAAUAUCACCAACCCCUAAAACUACUUAAUACUAUAUGGUGAAAUACCCAUAUAUGUAUUCUGUAUGUUUGUAACUAAAUUUUUUCUUCAUUUCAUGCCUAAAAAACAUGAAAGCAAAAGGAUAGUAUUAUCUUCGGAUUUACUUUAUCUUUUUAUGAACCAAAACUGUUGUACAACUCUUAGCAACGGAUAUCUUGGUUCCC